rnacentral:rRNA from 1 species
UCGUGACUGCGUGCCUUUUGAAGAAUGAGCCUGCGAGUUUGCGGUGUGUUGCGAGGUUAACCCGUGUGGGGAAGCCGUAGCGAAAGCGAGUCCGAAUAGGGCGUUUUAGUAGCGCGCUCAAGACCCGAAGCGGAGUGAUCUAGCCAUGGGCAGGUUGAAGCGGAGGUAAGACUUCGUGGAGGACCGAACCCACCAGGGUUGAAAACCUGGGGGAUGACCUGUGGUUAGGGGUGAAAGGCCAAUCAAACUCCGUGAUAGCUGGUUCUCCCCGAAAUGCAUUUAGGUGCAGCGUCGUGUGUUUCUUGCCGGAGGUAGAGCACUGGAUAGGCGAUGGGCCCUACCGGGUUACUGACCUUAGCCAAACUCCGAAUGCCGGUAAGUGAGAGCGCGGCAGUGAGACUGUGGGGGAUAAGCUCCAUGGUCGAGAGGGAAACAGCCCAGAGCAUCGACUAAGGCCCCUAAGCGUACGCUAAGUGGGAAAGGAUGUGGAGUCGCAGAGACAACCAGGAGGUUGGCUUAGAAGCAGCCAUCCUUGAAAGAGUGCGUAAUAGCUCACUGGUCAAGUGAUUCCGCGCCGACAAUGUAGCGGGGCUCAAGCGUACCGCCGAAGUCGUGUCAUUGCAGCAUUAACCUCUAACGGGGGCUGUGAUGGGUAGGGGAGCGUCGUGUGCCGGGUGAAGCAGCCGUGUAAGCGAGUUGUGGAUGGUUCACGAGUGAGAAUGCAGGCAUGAGUAGCGAUACACACGUGGGAAACGUGUGCGCCGAUUGACUAAGGGUUCCUGGGUCAAGCUGAUCUGCCCAGGGUAAGUCGGGACCUAAGGCGAGGCCGACAGGCGUAGUCGAUGGACAACCGGUUGAUAUUCCGGUACCCGCUGUGAAGCGUCAGCGCUGAACCAGGCGAUGCUAAGUCCGUGAAGCCGCCCUGAUCUCUUCGGAGUUGAGGGGAGUGGUGGAGCCGAUAGUCCAGACCUGUAGUAGGUGAGUGAUGGGGUGACGCAGGAAGGUAGUCCAGCCCGGGCGGUGGUUGUCCCGGGGUAAGGGUGUAGCCCGAGGGGUAGGUAAAUCCGUCUCUCAUUAAGGGUGAGACCUGAUGCCGAGCCGAUUGUGGCGAAGUGGAUGAUCCUAUGCUGUCGAGAAAAGCCUCUAGCGAGUUUUAUGGCGGCCCGUACCCUAAACCGACUCAGGUGGUCAGGUAGAGAAUACCGAGGCGUUCGGGUGAACUAUGGUUAAGGAACUCGGCAAAAUGCCCCCGUAACUUCGGGAGAAGGGGGGCCAUUGCUGGUGAUCACCCUUGCGGUGUGAGCUGGUGGUGGCCGCAGAGACCAGCGAGAAGCGACUGUUUACUAAAAACACAGGUCCGUGCGAAGCCGUAAGGCGAUGUAUACGGACUGACGCCUGCCCGGUGCUGGAACGUUAAGGGGACCGGUUAGUGGGGUUUUUGAUCCUGCGAAGCUGAGAACUUAAGCGCCAGUAAACGGCGGUGGUAACUAUAACCAUCCUAAGGUAGCGAAAUUCCUUGUCGGGUAAGUUCCGACCUGCACGAAUGGCGUAACGACUUCUCGACUGUCUCAACCAUAGGCCCGGUGAAAUUGCAUUACGAGUAAAGAUGCUCGUUUCGCGCAGCAGGACGGAAAGACCCCGGGACCUUUACUAUAGCUUGAUAUUGGUGUUCGGUUCGGCUUGUGUAGGAUAGGUGGGAGACUGUGAAGCAUUGACGCUAGUUGGUGUGGAGUCGUUGUUGAAAUACCACUCUGGUCGUGCUGGAUGUCUAACCUGGGUCCGUGAUCCGGAUCAGGGACAGUGUCUGGUGGGUAGUUUAACUGGGGCGGUUGCCUCCUAAAGGGUAACGGAGGCGCCCAAAGGUUCCCUCAGCCUGGUUGGCAAUCAGGUGUUGAGUGUAAGUGCACAAGGGAGCUUGACUGUGAGACCGACGGGUCGAGCAGGGACGAAAGUCGGGACUAGUGAUCCGGCGGUGGCUUGUGGAAGCGCCGUCGCUCAACGGAUAAAAGGUACCCCGGGGAUAACAGGCUGAUCUUCCCCAAGAGUCCAUAUCGACGGGAUGGUUUGGCACCUCGAUGUCGGCUCGUCGCAUCCUGGGGCUGGAGUCGGUCCCAAGGGUUGGGCUGUUCGCCCAUUAAAGCGGUACGCGAGCUGGGUUUAGAACGUCGUGAGACAGUUCGGUCCCUAUCCGCUGUGCGCGUAGGAGUCUUGAGAAGGGCUGUCCCUAGUACGAGAGGACCGGGACGGACGAACCUCUGGUGUGCCAGUUGUUCUGCCAAGGGCAUGGCUGGUUGGCUACGUUCGGGAGGGAUAACCGCUGAAAGCAUCUAAGCGGGAAGCCUGCUUCGAGAUGAGGGCUCCCACCCACUUGA